UGGCAAGCGUUAUCCGGAUUCACUGGGCGUAAAGGGAGCGCAGGCGGCGCGGCAAGUCUGAUGUGAAAGCCCGGGGCCCAACCCCGGGUCUGCAUUGGAAACUGUCGAGCUAGAGUGUCGGAGGGGUAAGCGGAAUUCCUAGUGUAGCGGUGAAAUGCGUAGAUAUUAGGAGGAACACCAGUGGCGAAGGCGGCUUACUGGACUGUAACUGACACUGAGGCUCGAAAGCGUGGGGAGCAAACA
rnacentral:rRNA from 1 species